CUUUCAUGAGUUAAUUCUGACUUUAUUAACACAUUAAGUAGUUGUGUGAAUGGAAUACAGUACCUUGGGUCUUCUUUUUCCACUGAAUCAGUCCAGUAAAUAAAAGGGCAAUGAGAAGCAGCACGAGAACAACAGACACGGCAGUGAUGACAGUUACUAUAGUUACAGCAUCAGUACCAGCUGGAGAAUAAUAUACAGUGGAAUGAAAUAUGAUCCAGGAAGAUGGUGCAUCAGUGUAAGAGAAGAGGAAGGAAGAAGAGAGAUGAGGUUGCAGGUCGACCGCUCUGAUAAAACAUCAGCCCUGAUCUUUAAACAUGUCACAUGUAGUUAAGGACUAGUGUUAGAACAACUCUUCAAUUUUACACUGUAAAUAAACAGAGAUCA